AGUGAAUGCUAGCGACAGGCGUUACACAUGCGAGUCGAAUGGGUAGCUAUAGCGUACCCAUGGCGUACGGGUGAGGAGGCCAGAGGAAUUGAGUGGUAAGUGCGCCAUAAGUAGGUUUGCUUUUAAGAAAGUGGAUCUAUGAAUAGCGCAUAAAAGGAAAGAUUAGAUCGCUUACCAUCGAGCCGCUGGAGGAUUAGGUAGUUGGGUGGGUAAAAGCCACCCAAGCCGAAGAUACUUAACUGGUCUGAGAGGAUGAGCAGUCACACUGGGACUGGAAGAAGGCCCAGACUCCAUGUUGGAGGCAGCAGUGUGGAAUAUUGGACAAUGGGCGCAAGCUUGAUCCAGCCAUGUCGUAAGAGUGAAAGGAAAGACUUAGGCUGUAAAACUAAUAAAGUACGCCGAGGAUAA
rnacentral:rRNA from 1 species